rnacentral:rRNA from 1 species
UACGGAGGAUGCAAGCGUUAUCCGGAAUGAUUGGGCGUAAAGCGUCCGCAGGUGGCUGUGUAAGUCUGCUGUUAAAGAGUGAGGCUCAACCUCAUAAAGGCAGUGGAAACUACAUGGCUAGAGUGCGUUCGGGGCAGAGGGAAUUCCUGGUGUAGCGGUGAAAUGCGUAGAGAUCGUAAGGAAGACCAGUGGCGAAGGCGAGUUUCUGGACGGUAACUGACGCUGAGGCACGAAGGCCAGGGGAGCAAACGGG